GCAGACAGAUCCUUCAGCCUCAGGAAAGCUUCUUGAUGACGCGGUCCUGGCUGACAACCGGACUGCAACCUCAUGAGAUACCCUGAGCCAGAACCACCAGCUAAGCCACUUCUCAAGUCCUGACUCACAGUGCUGCAAGAUAAUAAACGUUUUGGAGUCAUUCGUAACACAGCAAGUGAUAAUGAAGAUACGUGGGUUGAGUGGGGCUUUGCCUAAUAUGCCCUAGUGCCUCCUGAAAGUGAAUGAGGCCAGCUGGGAUGACUAGGCACUGCUCAGAGAGCUGGGGUAAGGCCACCGUGUGGUUUCCUAAAAGGAGUGAAAGUAGAGAGAGCCUGAGAUGAGCAUCUUCCGGAGGGAGGGACUAUGUCGCCUGGGAGAGAGUCACACACACCUGGUUUCUGGGGCUCUGGGCCCCAGAGGCAGGUGUCGUCUAGGGAUAAAGAACGAGAGGUAAUGUCCAGAGGAGGAGGUCCCUUCUCUGACAGCCUGGGGUCGGAGGAGGCAAAGCUUUUGUUAAGAGGCAGUUCCCUGGCUUGAUCAGAAGAGGAAUGUCAGCCAGCUUCUGAGGACUGCAAUACCAGAGCUUCUGAGGCAAACUGGGACAUAGAAGAUUGAAGAAGGCGCCAGAGGCACAGAGACACAUUACUGGAGCCUUGGAGAUGGUGGUCAUGGAAGCCAUUAAUAAAACAUGGAACUUUCUGGAACAUUGGGUUUCUGGCUGUUCCUUUGUUUGCCCGUGGUGGCCAGCAUGUUUGCAGUUGGGAGGAUUCUUCACCAGUCUAACACAUGCCUCAGUUUUCUAGGUGAGAAACCCAGACAAGGCUGGCACUGCACAGAGAUGGAACCUGAUGAAACGGCCCCAUUUGAGCGCCUGCUGUAUCGCGUUGGCUCUGCUUCCUGCAGCUGUGCUCCAAGAUGAGCCUUUCAGACAUCGCUCCCUAAUAGCUCCAUCUCCCCCAGUCCAGGAGGAUGCGCAUUCCUCUCCUCAUUCACAUGCACCACUUCAAGCCAUCUGCACGCUCUACAGGGGACUUGCCGCCUAACAUCCUAAUGUGCAACCCCAUCCAAAUCCUCUGCUGGAAUCUCACUAUUUGCACCACUUACGCUCCUGGAGCGUGAAACAGAAGGGCCAGUCCUCUUGUCUCUUUAUUCUAAGUGUUUAAUACAGAUUCCAUGGACUUGGUCCAUAACAAUAUGAGUGUGGUCUUACAUCAGUCCUUUUACUAAUUUCUCAUCAUCUCCCUCAUCCUUGUCCUUUAGUGAUUGUUCCAGACCUUCUCUUCUUAUCCUCAUACUCUCCUCUUUGGUAUAGUAGUGAGUAAAAGAAAGAAAGAAAAAAAAGGUCCUAGUGUGACUCAUAUCUUCAUGGUUUAUUUACUACCUGGAGGAUUUUUGAGGCUAUGAACAUUGUUUUAUUUUUUGCUGUAUCCCCAGCACCUAGCACAGAUAUGUGUGUGUAUCAGGGCCUGUAUGUAUAAGCUCUCCGAUGCUGCUAUAACAUGUAGUUCCCCAGUCAAAACUAAGUAUUAUUAAAGCAGCAUUUUGGACAGGG
rnacentral:lncRNA from 1 species